rnacentral:rRNA from 1 species
CCUACGGGAGGCAGCAGUAGGGAAUCUUCCACAAUGGGCGAAAGCCUGAUGGAGCAACGCCGCGUGGGUGAAGAAGGUCUUCGGAUCGUAAAACCCUGUUGUUAGAGAAGAAAGGGCGGGAGAGUAACUGUUCACGUUUCGACGGUAUCUAACCAGAAAGCCACGGCUAACUACGUGCCAGCAGCCGCGGUAAUACGUAGGUGGCAAGCGUUAUCCGGAUUUAUUGGGCGUAAAGGGAACGCAGGCGGUCUUUUAAGUCUGAUGUGAAAGCCUUCGGCUUAACCGGAGUAGUGCCUUGGAUACUUGGAGCCUUGAUUGCAGAAGAGGAGAGUGGAACUCCAUUUGUAGCGGU